rnacentral:rRNA from 1 species
UACGAAGGGGGCUAGCGUUGCUCGGAAUCACUGGGCGUAAAGGGUGCGUAGGCGGGUCUUUAAGUCAGGGGUGAAAUCCUGGAGCUCAACUCCAGAACUGCCUUUGAUACUGAGGAUCUUGAGUACGGGAGAGGUGAGUGGAACUGCGAGUGUAGAGGUGAAAUUCGUAGAUAUUCGCAAGAACACCAGUGGCGAAGGCGGCUCACUGGCCCGUUACUGACGCUGAGGAGCGAAAGCUAGGGGAGCAAACGGG